rnacentral:rRNA from 1 species
CUCGUAGUUGGAUCUCGGUGCCGGUCUGGCGGUCCGCCUCGCCGCGGUCUCACUGCCAGUCCCGGAGCCAUCCCGCCGGCCUUCCCUCGGUGCUCUUUACCGAGUGUCUUGGGUGACCGGAACGUUUACUUUGAACAAAUUAGAGUGCUCCAAGCAGGCGCGUCCCGCCCGCAUAGCCCAGCAUGGAAUAAUGGAAUAGGACCUCGGUUCUAUUUUGUUGGUUUUCGGAACCCGAGGUAAUGAUUAAUAGGGACAGACGGGGGCAUUCGUAUUGCGACGCUAGAGGUGAAAUUCUUGGACCGUCGCAAGACGAACUACUGCGAAAGCAUUUGCCAAGAAUGUUUUCAUUAAUCAAGAACGAAAGUUAGAGGUUCGAAGGCGAUCAGAUACCGCCCUAGUUCUAACCAUAAACGAUGCCGACCAGCGAUCCGCCGGAGUUCCUCCGAUGACUCGGCGGGCAGCUUCCGGGAAACCAAAGUGUUUGGGUUCCGGGGGAAGUAUGGUUGCAAAGCU